AACAGCAUUAAGAUUGAUUCUUCCUUUAAAUGCAAUGUAGUAUUUGGGGCUUCUGGAGCCCAUUCCUUAUCCUGUGUUUAUUAAUUCUUUCAGAGAAGGAAACUUUGCCAAAAAAAGGGAGGGAUGUCUCCUUAAACAGAAUUGGAAGGAGUAGCCAUAUUCUGAUGGCCGUGUCUGGGCAGAGGUGUGGAGCUGGUACCUUGAAGAAUCCCAGCUAGCUUAUUGAUAGAAGGCUAGAAACGUUCCCCAGUACGCUGUAAACUAUGGGCAAGGGGUAUGACACAUCAACAUCCAGAAAAUGUAACGCUUAGGUGUUCUCUUCAGAGGCGUGAGUUGAAAUUCAAAAUGCAAGAAAGUAACUAAGCAGUAAGUAAGCAACAGUAAGACUAAACAAUAAAACGCUUUUGAGUGCUUCAGAAAAUUGGCGCCAAUAUAAAAUCCUGCAAAUUGUGUUAAUUAAAGCACAGCAUUUCUGUGCUUUGAUAACAGGUAAAAUGCUUUUAUUUCUUCUUAAGAAUUCGUCUUUGUGAGAGAAAAGGGGGAACCUCUCCCAGAUGAGAAUAAAACAUACUCCCUUUUUAACAGACAGUACAUUUUUGUACUUUUAAGAUUUGAUAGAAGCACAGAUUUCCAAAGCAGGUUUCAAAGACUGCCUGCACACAGCGCUCCCUGUUUUCAUAGAUGGGGGUACUGGCGGCUACAGAAAUGGAAGGCCUUAACCAAAGGUUACAUUGGGCAGCAGUGUGAAAACCAGAACUGGACCGUGCGCGUACCGAAUGCUAACAAACAGGCAUCAGCAAACUGCAGGGCUGCUGCUUGUGGUCAUAGGUUGAGAUACGUGGCAUAAUUGCAACUUUAUUCUCAAAGAAAUGUAUUCAAAAUGAAGUAGUUCUAAUUCUAUGAAAUCAAAAGGGCCAACAGUGUAAAACGUUAAAACAUUAAGGGAAGCACUCUUCUUGUUUGCUUGCAUUACUGUUAAUGUAGUAUUUUAUAAAGAUUCAGAGCAUAACUUUUGGAGGAGGUGCUCCCUCCCCUAAUUUAAGAAAUAAGAAAAGAUAAAGAGUUGUUAGCAGUCUCAGAAAAACUCCAGCUCUGAAGAUUUUCAUUUUAUGCAGAUUUCUGUGCCCAUGGAUUAAGGGCUUAGGGGAGAAAUAGCUGCCAGAUGGUUUUAUAGGUGUAUAUAAAACCAAAAAGUUUAAUAUAGUUGAAACUCUGUAGUGGUUAACCGUGAAGGACAUCAAAGUUAAAUCUUCCUUAAGCAAUCUUUUGCUGCUUACACUUAAAUUCAGAAUUAAAUGAUUCAGAAAAGGACCGUGAAACUGAAUUUACUUUGGUGUCAUGAAGAACUGCAAACUUGCAUGCAAACUACUUCUAUUUUAUUUAAAGCCGGGGCUUUCAGUCAGUACUUGAAAAGCCUGGCUUCUGCUCCCAUUGGCUUCCCUGGGAUUUGGACCCAGCCCAAAGCGCUGCAGGAAGGUAGGGGAAAUGAUCUUGGUUUAAUUGUCUGUUCUGUUCGGAGCCUUGUGUUAUGGGGUUAGGAUAGCAUGGCACUGUGAUGAAUGUUCAUUUGUCAAGAGUUCAAAAUCUGCUGUGUGUGUGGCAGUAAUUAAAUCACCUUAAUGGUUGUUCAUUAUUCUUUUUAAGAGAGGGAAAAAUAGUUGCCUUGGAUUAGCAUAUUGCCAAAGACUGGUAUAAAUAUUAAUGGGGUGCACUCUUUCAAUAGCAAGCCUGUACAUUCUUCACAGGUCUCCAUAGUUCUACUCUGAACACAGAAGAGUAGUCAUUCAAAUGCACUACUUACCAUCGCUUCUCCCUGUAGUAAAGCUUCAGUAGAUACUGGGUUUAACAGUAAAAAAGAGUGCUGUUUCCAAGUUUAUGCUGUCAAAGUCAUGACAAACUUCAGUAUAUGUAAACAUUCAGAUUUCGGUGCAUACUGCUGAAGUUAAUAGUUUGCUAAAAUUUUGAGAUCAGGAAGAGACGAACAUUUUUAAUAUAAUACAAAAGCAAGCCUGUUUUGCUAAGACACUGUAGCUUUAUUAAAGAUAUUUGUUGAGCUCCCUUCUAUUCUAAGGAAAAAGGAUAUACUUUUUGUAAUAGUGGACAUUGUACCUAAGUCAUGGGAUCACUCCUUUGUGUUUUAACUAUUCCUGUUGUUUACACUGCUUUGACAAACUCCAACAAAGCUCCUGACAGCGUGCCAAGAGAGAGAUUCAAUGAGUACUGCAACGUAAACGGAACUGGUGAAGCGCAGCAGGUGCAGCUGCCGGAGCGCAGCAGCCCCGCGGCUGGAGCCGGCGCCCGCUCAGCAGCCUGCCGCCCCGACCCGCGCGGGGGCACCGGGCGGCCAGCGGCGCCACCGGGGCAACCGCCCGCCAGCGGGACCCCAAAGUCGUCCCUGCCUGCAGCUGUGAUUCCUGCGCUGGCCUUCCCAAGCCCCACGUGGCUUCUUGGUAUUGUCCUUCCGUAGUUCGUAGGAUUUAAAUGAGAAGGCACUUGGUAAGCUAUGUUUUUAUACAGAACUGAGCAUGUUAGGACAAAACCACGUAAAAUGGACAUUAGGCAAGGAGAAAGUACUAUUUCUAGGUCUCUUCCAAUCACGGACAGCUGACACGCACAUAACUAACCGUGGUGAGGAAAGGAAGCACGCAGAUCUGUCCAAACCAGAGAGGGAACAGACAACUAAAAUGCAGUGAUUGUGUUGGGUUUGAGCAGUAAAUGCCAAUACCUUUGCACUUUUGUUAACAAGUUAGAUAGCAUUCCACAGCCUUUUGCUCCUCAGCAGUAGAACUUUUCUUACGUUACUUCUCAGAAGCAGCCUACAAAUACGGUGUGGUAAACUGAUGUUUAAUUUGGAGUAAGAACUAAUUUUUCCUUGACUGAGAAAACAAGCUGUCUUAACUGCUGCACUACAGAUUGGGGAGAGAGAGAAAUUACAGAGCCUGAUUUUUUUUUUUUCGUAUUUUUCUUGAUGGGUCCUCUCCGUAGAAUAUAUCCUGAAGGUUACUACUGCUCCUUUGCAGGUAUAAAUAGCUAAGGGAGAGAUAAUCUGAGUGAUAACCUUGAGACAGAAAGUAGGAGCAGAUGGCUUAGGAGUGCAUUAUUGUUGUACCUACCACCAAAACUUAAUAGAAUUUUCAGGUGUCAAUGGAGAAAUAAUCUUCUUCAUACUAUUGAGGGAAUUAAUAAGAAAUUUCACAUUUUCAUGACUGCGUGCCUGUAUGACAGCAUGUACCAUCUAUAGCUGUAUUCUUGUUGGAAACAACAAUAAAGAACUUCACUGGAAA